GACGAACGCUGGCGGCGUGCUUAACACAUGCAAGUCGAACGGAAAGGCCCUGCUUUUGUGGGGUGCUCGAGUGGCGAACGGGUGAGUAACACGUGAGUAACCUGCCCUUGACUUUGGGAUAACUUCAGGAAACUGGGGCUAAUACCGGAUAGGAGCUCCUGCUGCAUGGUGGGGGUUGGAACGUUUCGGCGGUUGGGGAUGGACUCGCGGCUUAUCAGCUUGUUGGUGGGGUAGUGGCUUACCAAGGCAUUGACGGGUAGCCGGCCUGAGUGGGUGACCGGCCACAGUGGGACUGAGAUACGGCCCAGACUCCUACGGGAGACAGCAGUGGGGAAUAUUGCACAAUGGGCGGAAGCCUGAUGCAGCAACGCCGCGUGCGGGAUGACGGCCUUCGGGUUGUAAACCGCUUUCGCCUGUGACGAAGCGUGAGUGACGGUAAUGGGUAAAGAAGCACCGGCUAACUACGUG
rnacentral:rRNA from 1 species